AUGCAUGGUCUGCAGCUGCCGCUCCUCCAAGUUGCCCUUCGCUGCGCAAAGGACCUCGAUCUUGUCCGCUGCAUUGGGGAUCUUGGGCAUGCGGUUUCCCCCACGGGCGGCUGGCACGUUGUCUUCCCCGCGGGCAGCGACCUCAAAGUCUGCGACAUCGGCGGUUGGGGAGGGGGUGCACCCCUCCUCGUCAUUCUCAAUCGCAAGCCCUCCACUCUUUCCUGUGCGGUGCAGACCAACAGCCGUCCGGCGGGGAGAAGGCAGGGUGUCACCGACAGGAGCGCACCGCGUAGCACCACUGCUUUCCGCCGCCGACCACCACGAGGGCGCCUCUGCUGGUCGCUCUUGUGA
rnacentral:rRNA from 1 species